AAGAACCUGGGGCCUGCCCUUCCCCCACUCUGAGCCAUGACGAUUCUGCGAUUAAUCAUGCUGGCUCUGGUGACAGGGCAUGUAGGGGGAGAGACCAGGAUCAUCAAAGGGUACGAGUGCUCUCCUCAUUCCCAGCCCUGGCAGGUGGCUCUGUUCCAGAAGACGCGGCUGCUCUGUGGGGCAACCCUCAUCGCUCCCAAAUGGCUCCUGACAGCAGCCCACUGCCGCAAGCCCCGAUACAUAGUUCACCUGGGGGAGCACAACCUCCAGCGGCAGGAUGGCUCUGAGCAGACCCGAACAGCCACUGAGUCCUUCCCCCACCCAGAGUUCAACUACAGCCUCCCCAACAAAGACCACCGCAAUGACAUCAUGCUGGUGAAGAUGGCAUCACCAGCCAUGAUCACUUGGGCUGUGCGACCCCUCACUCUGUCAUCACGCUGUGUCACUCCUGGCACCCAAUGCCUCAUUUCCGGCUGGGGGACCACAUCCAGCCCCCAGUUGCACCUGCCCCAUACCUUGCGAUGUGCCAACAUCACCAUCAUCGAGCACAAGGAGUGUGAGAAGGCCUACCCCGGCGACAUCACAGACACCAUGGUGUGUGCCAGCGUUCAAGAAGAGGGCAAGGACUCCUGCCAGGGCGACUCUGGGGGCCCUCUGGUCUGUAACGGAUCUCUUCAAGGCAUUAUCUCCUGGGGCCAGGAUCCAUGUGCUGUCUCCAGAAAGCCUGGUGUCUAUACAAAGGUCUGCAAAUAUGUGGACUGGAUCCAGGAGACUAUGCAGAACAAUUAGCAGGACAAAUUGACCCCAGCCCCAAACCCCCGACCCCUACUUGGUGCUGUGGUUCCUGUUCAUUCAGCUAAUAAUAAAGCAGCCUAAGCCAGG
rnacentral:lncRNA from 1 species